rnacentral:lncRNA from 10 species
GUCUGGUUCCUAGGGAGAAAUUACAGAGGGGAAAUGAGGCUCCAAGAUAACCACGCUGAUUAAUGUCACCAACGCAGUAAAUCAUGGAGAAAGGACCUGGAUGUCUGAAAACAAAUUAUUUUACAAGUGGAAAAGUUAACAAAGAAUGUACAAUGUUUUCUGAAAAUGUGUAAUUCUCUUCAUCGUUUUGAACUGUGACUUCUGGAAAUCUGCUCACUGGUGAUGGAGAUAGUCACGGAAGUAUCACCCAUCAGGACACAAAGACAGGCCCUGAGACUCUGGUGACUUGGUGGUAUAAAGUGAAGAGCACUGGACUGCAAAUAAGGAAUCCUGUACUCAGAACCCUGCAUCACAGAAUAGCCUUGCAAAUGAGCAAGCCCGUCUCCUUACCUUUACCUACUCUACAAAACAGAAAAUAAAGCGGAUGAAAAUCAUAGAGGUACUAGGUAAUGUGCCUGGCGCCAUGUGUGUUAUGCAGAAUGAACCACUCAACAUUCUACCAGCCUACCGUUUACCAUCUCAGAGAGUGAGCCCACAACCCACUAACAUAUAAUGAAUGUCCUUUCCUCCAACCUGGUACCACUCAGUUCAACAGUGGCCAUAUCAAUUCAAUUGUUUAAAUUCUGUGUACUUAAAGGAAAUGCACCAAUUGGUUUGAACUAAAGCAAAUUCCUGCCCUAUUAGAAGUGUGCAAAGACCAAAGAAUAUCAAAGGGCUACGACCUUUCCUGAAUCAAGUCUGGAUUUAAACCAAUGGCCUUAAAUAAAAUAAGAAAUACUAAAAUAGAGAACAUUAGCCUCAGUAGUUAAGAGCAGGGCUUUAAAUCAGUGGACCUUGUGUGCUUGGGGGUGGAAAGUAUCCAGAUGACAGGCUUCUUCUCCAAUAGGGCUUCUUUCCAAACAUUUCCAUGCAUGUCUACUCACUACUGAAAGCUCAGGGUCCUAAAAGAUCAUCACAUUUUAUUCCUCAAAUCCAGUCAAUCACAUAGAGGCAUUUUCUUGUUUGGCUUGAUAGAAUAGAUGAGAAUGAUCCCACAUGAUCCUAAGAGGCAGGAACAACUGGUGAGAACCCAUUUCUCAGCAUGCUUCAAUCAAGAAGUCCACGUCAUCAGCAGCGCUAAUUUAAUUUAAAAAAAGCGGUGGUGCUAUAAUUGGCUUGCCAUUCUAGCUAGUGGGUUUCCAGGGUAACCGUGUUCUUGCCACAGAUAAAAUCUACCUAGUAGCACAAAGACUAAGGGUUUGAGAAGAGUCAGCAUCAAAUGAGAGGUCAAGAAUUCAGCCUGAAGAGAGCUACAUCAAAAGCAUAUUUAGUUAAGGUGGACCGGAUCCAAAAUCUGAGCCCUGCCACGUACUAGCUGUACCAUUUCAGAAAAAAAUAUUUAACUUCUCUAGGCCUUGUUUCCUCAUCUGCAAGAUGAACACAAUAAUGGAACCUGUUCUUGUAGGAUUGUUACAGGAAUAAAACAGAGAACUUAAACAUUAAUUUG